CUGCUAACCUGGCAGGGACAGGUCUGUGCUGCUCUACAUGCUGUAUUGACCCUAAGAACACUUUUGAAGUGAGUCUUUCAGUGAUAUUACAUUAUUUUGGACAAUAUUUUCCUGCUGAGUUUUCUUGGUUUUAGCACUGAAUGCCCUAAAUUCCAGGAAAUCUUUAGUGCUGGGCAAACUGGGGCAGGUGGUCACCUUAGUACUGCUGAGCGCCCUCAUGCUACAGUUCUGAAGGUGCACCGCCCCCAGCUUUCCUCCCUGUCCUUCCUUGACAGAGCACGGUCUAUAUUUCUCUUUCCUCUCUUAUCUCUGUGCUGAAAUUGAGUUGAAAUGUUGGAGACAUUAAAUAAGCUGUUAUAUUAAAUUGCUGAAUUAAACCAGUCACCAUGCCUCAUACAAUAGCAACAACCUGCAUGGGAGUUUCUGCUCCUUGUAAACAAAAGACAACUCUUACUGGCACAGAUGUUAAUGGUCAGUGAAAUGUAGUCUGUUACUCUCUGUCUCAUGCAGGUUUGGAUUAAACAGGGGCAAUUCCUAACUUAGAACAAAAUGUCUCUAAAGGAGGAAAUUCCAGUGUCAGUGAACAGUCUUUGAACUUAUUUUUCAAUAGAUAAGCUUUCCUCGUACUCACUCAAUCAACUGAUAUAUAUUUAUUAGCAAAGCUCUUUGCUAGCUGCAGCGAGUGAUAUAAAAAGUUUUAAAAAAUGGGUCCUUGCUUCAACAAUGAAGCUAGGAAAAAACAGUCUACAUAACUGAAAAGUUAACUAAAAAUAAAAGCGAUAGAAAGGCAGUGAAUUAGGCUAAUAUUUAUUGACUCUCUGUACUAGCUAAUAUCUUUUGAGUCAAUAUAGCAUCUCUACUAGAUAAUUUCGUAUAUAACAUCUCAUUUAAUCGUUGCCCAAAUUACAUUUUUAUAGAUUAAAAAAACUAUAUCUUUAAAAGGUUAAACCACUUGGCCAUAAUUAAAUAGUAAGCAUGUGGUCAUGCUGGAAUUCAUUCAUUCAUUCAUUCAUUCAUUCAUUCAUUCAACAAGUAUUUAUUGAGCAUUUACAGUUAAAAGGAGGCAAAUCAAUUGAGACUGGUAUGACUUAUAAAAGUCUAAUGGAAAAUGUGGGGUUUGAGUUUCAAUGUGGGGUCAUGGGGAAGGCAGAAAGGGAAAGGAGUAGUGCUCAUGAACAAAUAAAUGGGCAUGGACCAGGUAUGUGUGUGAGAGUGGAGAGUGGAGAGUUUGUUGGUGAAGUAGAGGAAUAGUGAACAUUUAUCUGGAGGCUGAAUUAUGAAGGAACCUUGAUGCCAGUGUGGUUAGUUCAAGCUUUAUCCUGUAGGUAAUGGAAAUAAAAUGAUGAAAGAUGAGCUCGAUGGCCAUAUGCACGAUGCUUUGGAAGCAGAAUGAGAUGAGUUGGUCCCAUUACUCCAGUCAGCCGGGUGUUACGGUUAUUUCAGUUACGCAGCAAUUUACUAGCCUAUGGGAAGCAUACUGACGUAGUUAAACAGUAUUGGCUGAACUCUUAUGUAAGAUGUUGAGUUAAUCCUUAUUAUAAGAAAUUGUGUCAAAGGUGAGAUUUUCUGAAAGUCUAGAGCAGGGGUCACAAACUCAAAGGCCUUUAGGAACCGGAAAGGAAUCAGCUGGCUGGAGGAAUUUUGGAAGGGGUGAGGCAUACACUUUCUUCUAUGUUCCUGAAACCACAACAUUGUUAGGACUCAUCUGUUCAUGAGACCAGACCAAUAGAAAAUGAGCACUUCGUGGAUAAAAAAUACAGAUGGAAACUUAGUGGCUUGCACCAAAACAUCAGAUCUUCCUGGGUCUUGAGAUAGCUAGUUUUCAGACUGCAACUACACCAUCAUCUCUCCUGGUUCUCAGACCUUCAGACUUAGACUGAAACUUACAUAAUCAGCUCUCCUGGUCUCCAGCUUGCUGACAGCAGACUUUAGGACUUGUUAGACUCCACAGUGAAAGAUCACUCUGACUGCUACAUGGAAAAUGUGCUGGGGAGAAACAAGACUGCAGGAAAUAAGAGCAGUGAACAAGCUCUUGCUGUAAUUCAAGUCAGGUGUAGAAGCUGGAGCUGGAGCAGCCAUUCUGAACUAUGUCGAAAAUCUACCUGGAAAUAAAAAGUUGACUCACCGAUUCACACCAUUUCCAUUUGUCUUGGUCUGGCUUUGGUGUCGGGGCAUUUCCAGUCUCAUAAAAUGACUUUGCGUAACACAUGGAAACUAAUGGUGUUCUACAAUUGCUGAAGCAAGUGUAACACUAAAGUAAACUCAAGGGAUCUUUUCUAUUUACGGGCCAAUGAGAUUUCUAACCUCCAGUCCUAGAAGAUGCCUUCAAGCCUGUGCCCUUUGUCAGCUUCAUGAAUUCACAAUAGUUUGUGAGUGUUUCAUUGUUGUUGUUGUUUUCUCUUAUUCUUUCUGUCCUUCUCCUGAGUGGCAUUUAUGGGCUUUUUGGGAACAGAUCUUUAUAGACAUAAGGCUAGAGUUAGGAUGUCUUGGGAAGAUUCACUAAAAAAUGUAAAACCACCAACACAGUGCCACCCUUUGUUUCACGUAUUUGAUCAAAUAAGCUAGUCUGUUUUCAAUGACCGUGCUGUAUUUUUAACAAAAAAACAACGACCAAAAAGUCAAUAUUCCUAUAGUGUUUAUCUGGCACUUACCAUAUUAUGAGGGCAAAGGCAGAUGGAUAGCGUUCUAAAUGAGUACUUCAGGAGGAUGAGAGGAGGGCUUGGAGGAAUGACAGUCCAUCACUGCAGAUGUGUACUAAACCCUGCCAUGUUUAACAGGCCUGUAGAUUAAAAUUUAACAUGCUGCGUCUCCCACAUCAGGUUAGGUGGAUGGUUGAGCCGGAGUGAUAUUAUCGGCUCUAUUAGAAGGCCUCUCAUGAACCGAGUGGUGGUUUUAAUUAAAUCCAGUAGGUUGAGAGAAGUGGUUUGGCAGUUUCAAUUGAUUUAUUGUGUUUAUGACAUCUGGGCCUGAUUUAUUGUAUUAUUAACACACAGAAUUGUUUUUGGACACUCACCCUACAUAUUUUCAUUCUGGUUUGGGGGACUCAUAGCCUAUAAGUAUGUAGCAUUUUCAUUCUACUAUGAUUUUAGUUUUCUGUUUGUCUCUUUUUGUUUUUCUUAUAUUGGUAGGGUGGUGAACUGUUGAAUUCGUUUUGUAGAGUCUCUGUGGGUUUGUGUGCCUGAACAGGUCUGCUUGAACAGUAGUACUGGGUUGGAGUUGAUUAUCAUUAUCUGACCUAAGUUCAUGGAGCGACAAAGUGAGAGAGAUUGACAGUUUUUUAAUGUAGUUUAUGAAUUGCCAAACUAUUUGCUCCAUGUUAUGGUUUUCUAAAUUUUUUAAGUUUGGGCCUUGGAUAUAAAUAUGAAUACCAUGUCAUAGAACGUUUGUUUCCAAUUAUCUGAAAGUGGUGAGCAUAUUCAGCUGGACGUUAUAGACAAGUGUUGCCCAGUCCAAAUUUUAUAGCAGUCAAGUACAUUUUAGAAAGUAUCCACUUCAAACUCCACAAAGCAUGUGUAAAAAGAGAGAAAAGGGAAGAAUUAAGCUACAAUUUCUGCCAUACAGGAAGGGCAGAGAAGUAAGCAGGUCCCAAUCAACCUACAUGUCUUGUUAAUCUAUGACUGAGUGGUUGCCCAUUCCAGUUAUAGAUGCUAUGAUAACUCAUCGGGCUCCCAGCUUCCUGGCUUUCUAUUCCCUGCAGCUGGGGCCACCUAGCCCCUACCUGAAUCCCCAGCCAGGGUUCUGGACCAGAUCAGGAUGAAUUUAAGAAUGGCUAGGUAAAUAUCUUAGGCAAAUCAACUUCAAGUCAGCCUGUGGUUUAGCUCACUUUGACCUUCUGCCUUAGUAUUAGAAUUUAGAUUUUGCCAUUGUUCUUGGUAGUCAGCCUCUACGUGGUAUUUAAUCCACUAAGAAAUGACUUCCUACUUUUUAUUAUUGCAGCCAUUUCUCUAUCUCAGUAAACUAUCUUGUUAGUCUUAGAUUUCUUUCCUAAAUACCCACAGUACUGCUUUGAACUCAAGUUUGGGACAUAUAACACAACUACUUGUCUAUCUGGGUAUCUGCCUAUUACCUGUGGCCAGAAUCCACUGAUGACCACCUCCUGUGCAGAUGUGUGCCUAUGAAUUACAUGUUGGUCUACCAUCCAAUGCAGUCUGCCCCAUUAAACUAGGCUUACUCUGCUAUGUAAGUGUUUAUACAUCCUAAUACACAGAAAUAUCAACAUUCUUCUCUUUGAAACAAUGAUUUUGCCCUCAUUUCCCUUUGUGGCAUUAUCAGAUUAAAUAGGGAAUGAUUUCUCAUCACCAUGCUACAUAACUAUUUAGGGUUAAUUUUAAAACUUUAUUCUCUGUAGUACUCAAAUUGCUUUGGAAAACUAUGAACUUGUUUGAUUUUGGGGGGUCUGUUAAAUGGAAUCCUCCCAAUUGGGUGAGAUGGGAUAUGUGAAAGGAAGCUUAAUCAUAAAAGGCACUUACGGAAUCCCUACCUGUAUUUAACAUAGACAUGAAACUUAGCUGAGCAUAAAAUCUGCUUGGAAAACCUCAUUCAUGUUGAACUUAAGUAGGAAAUCAUACCAAAUUACUUUUCUAAAAACAGCUUUACUGAGAUAUAACUUACAUAUCAUUAAAUCCAAUCAUUUUAAGUAUACAACUCGAUGGCUUUUUAGUACAUUUUUACAAAAUUGAGCAAAUCUUACCAGAGUCCAAGUUCAAAACGUUUUCUCACCCCCAAAAUAGCCUCAUCUCAAAGAGAUCAUUAGUUAUGGUUUUAGAUGGUGAAUUACCUUCAAUUAGGGUAAUCAUGUAAUAUAUUCUGUAUAUAAGUUAGAGAAAAAAUAUAAAGAAUGUUUUAUGUUUGAAUUGCAUAUUGAGUGCUCACAUGGGUGGCCAAUUUA